GAUGAACGCUGGCGGCGUGCUUAACACAUGCAAGUCGAACGGAAAGGCCCAAGCUUUCUUGGGUACUCGAGUGGCGAACGGGUGAGUAACACGUGGGUGAUCUGCCCUGCACUUCGGGAUAUGCCUUGGAAACUGGGUCUAAUACUGGAUAGGACCACUUCUUGGAUGUUGUGGUGGAGAGUUUUUUCGUUGUGGGAUUAGCUCGCGGCCUAUCAGCUUGUUGGUGGGGUGAUGGCCUACCAAGGCGUCGACGGGUAGCCGCCCUGAGAGGGUGUACGGCGGUACUGGGACUGAGAGACGGCACAGGUUGCUACGGGAGGCAGAAGUGGGGAAGCUUGCACAAUGGGCGCCAGCCUGAUGCUGCGACGUCGCGGGGGGGAUGACGGCCUUAGGGUUGUAGACUCCUUUCGCUAGGGACGAAGCGUUUUGUGACGGUACCUGGAGAAGAAGCCCCGGCUAACUACGUG
rnacentral:rRNA from 1 species